rnacentral:rRNA from 1 species
UACGGAGGGUGCGAGCGUUGUUCGGAAUUACUGGGCGUAAAGGGCGCGUAGGCGGCGACUCUAGUCAGAUGUGAAAGUCCUGGCUUAACCUGGGGACUGCAUUUGAUACUGGGUUGCUUGAAUUCGGGAGAGGAUAGCGGAAUUCCCAGUGUAGAGGUGAAAUUCGUAGAUAUUCGCAAGAACACCAGUGGCGAAGGCGACUCACUGGCCCGAUACUGACGCUGAGGUGCGAAAGCGUGGGGAGCAACAGGG